GAGCGCGCGCGGGCCGUUUCAGCUACAGAAAAAGUGGGCUGAGGAAAGGUAUCGGGGUCUGGAUGUGCGACGUUUGGCUAGAUAUCACUGAGCUAGGUGGGACAGCCAGGUAACAAUUUCAAGAUGCCAGGACGUUCCAGUACAAAUUCAGGGUCUACUCGUUACAUAUCCUUCAGUGGUGUAGAGUCAGCUCUCUCCUCCUUAAAAAACUUCCAAUCCUCUAUCAGCUCUGGAAUGGACACAGUUUCUAGUGUUGCCUUGGACCUUGUUGAGACUCAAACUGAAGUGAGUAGUGAGUACAGUAUGGACAAGGCCAUGGUUGAAUUUGCUAAAAUGGAUCGAGAACUAAGCCAUUAUGUUAAGGCUGUCCAGUCUACAAUGAAUCAUGUAAAAGAAGAACGUCCAGAAAAAGUACCAGAUUUAAAAUUACUGGUAGAGAAGAAAUUUUUGGCUUUACAGGAUAAGAACUCUGACGCUGACUUUAAAGAGAAUGAAAAGUUUGUGCAGUUCAAGCAGCAGCUGAGGGAGCUGAAGAAGCAAUGUAAGUCAGCCGCUUUGCUUUGGCUUCUUGAGAUGAAGGGCCUGACCUUGACUUAUGAGGACGUGCAUGUGAACUUCACUCAAGAGGAGCGGGCUUUGCUAAAUCCUUCCCAGAAGAAGCUCUACAAAGAUGUCAUGCUGGAGACCUACAGGAACCUCACCACUAUAGUUUCAACUGAGGAGGAAGAGGAAUGA